GAGUUUGAUCCUGGCUCAGGAUGAACGCUGGCGGCGUGCUUAACACAUGCAAGUCGAACGAAGCACCUUGAUUUGAUUCUUCGGAUGAAGAUCUUGGUGACUGAGUGGCGGACGGGUGAGUAACGCGUGGGUAACCUGCCUCAUACAGGGGGAUAACAGUUAGAAAUGACUGCUAAUACCGCAUAAGACCACAGCACCGCAUGGUGCAGGGGUAAAAACUCCGGUGGUAUGAGAUGGACCCGCGUCUGAUUAGGUAGUUGGUGGGGUAACGGCCUACCAAGCCGACGAUCAGUAGCCGACCUGAGAGGGUGACCGGCCACAUUGGGACUGAGAUACGGCCCAGACUCCUACGGGAAGCAGCAGUCGGGAAUAUUGCGCAAUGGAGGAAACUCUGACGCAGUGACGCCGCGUAUAGGAAGAAGGUUUUCGGAUUGUAAACUAUUUUAGACAGGGAAGAAAUUGACAGUACCUGUAGAAUAAGCUCCGGCUAACUACGUGCCAGCCGCCGCGGUAAUUC
rnacentral:rRNA from 1 species